UUCUGAAGGUUGACCUCGGAUCAGGUAGGAAUACCCGCUG
rnacentral:rRNA from 1 species